GACCCCGUAGUUCAAGGGAUAGAAUAGGAGUUUCCUAAACUCUAGAUCCAGGUUCGAGUCCUGGCGGGGUCACCA
rnacentral:tRNA from 1 species